AUGUACUGGCCUGGGUGCCCCGCUCAGGGCACUGGCACCCUGGGAGCUGGAGAGAUGCAGCUGGAAGAGCCCGCGCCCGGGGCACGAGGGGUCCCAUGCCAUGUCACGGGCUUGUCCCCAGCUGCCACCGUGCUGAUGGCUUGGCCGCCACUGCUGCUUACUGAGCACACCCGCGUGGGCCCUCGCUGCUGUGCCUUCCGUCGAGGCUCCGGCUGUCUCAUCCCUGAGGGACCCCGGCAUCCCACCUACCCAGGCUCACCAAGACAGGGCCCAUCACCGGUCCUCCGCACUCCUGAGUGUCGCACAGAGCGGGGGUCAGGCCACCUUAGGUUGUUGGGCUAUGGUUUUUGCAGAGUCCUGAGCUCCUGUGAAGAUCUGCUUCUCUCCAGCCUUGGGCUAUCUGCAUUCUUGAACAUCUCCGGGCCCAGAAGGAAAAGAAGAAUGCUGAGCAGCUCAGGGAAUGGCUUGAAUGAAAAGAGGCUCUUCUGCCUGGAAGUCAAAUUCCUCCGUUGGAAAGACUCCAUUUGA
rnacentral:lncRNA from 1 species